AACGAACGCUGGCGGCAGGCCUAACACAUGCAAGUCGAGCGAGGACUUCGGUUCUAGCGGCGGACGGGUGAGUAACGCGUGGGAAUGUGCCCUUCUCUACGGAAUAGCCCUGGGAAACUGGGAGUAAUACCGUAUACGCCCUAUUGGGGAAAGAUUUAUCGGAGAAGGAUCAGCCCGCGUUGGAUUAGGUAGUUGGUGGGGUAAUGGCCUACCAAGCCGACGAUCCAUAGCUGGUUUGAGAGGAUGAUCAGCCACACUGGGACUGAGACACGGCCCAGACUCCUACGGGAGGCAGCAGUGGGGAAUCUUAGACAAUGGGGGCAACCCUGAGCGAGCCAUGCCGCGUGAGUGAUGAAGGCCUUAGGGUUGUAAAGCUCUUUCAGCUGGGAAGAUAAUGACGGUACCAGCAGAAGAAGCCCCGGCUAACUCCGUG
rnacentral:rRNA from 1 species